GAAGAAGAUCGUGCACCCGCUUGGCUCUUACCAGCCACAAGUAACUACAAUUUCAUAAGAUUGCCAUGAAGACUUCUGAAACUGACGAGAAAUCAAAAUUCCUGUCUGAGGACUUCUCCCUGUGUGAGGAAGUCUAACUGAAUUGGUCAUGCAGUCUGCAUAGUGAUCCCUUAGGUAUUUAUGGAGGACAUGCUUUGUAAUAAGCUCGGGAGAUAGAACAUCCUUUCCCACGGGGGACACGCACAUCAGUGAAGAAGAUUGGCCUAUGAAGGCCUAUCACACAGGCAUAUGAGUGUUGUAAUAAAAGUGAAUGAUAGCAAAGUGGAUGCAGACAGGAGACACACCCCAGUUACUAACGUCUUGGAUAACAGAUUGGUGCUUAAAAAAAGAAGCCAGAAUGUCAUAGAUGAAGAAAUCGCCUGCACUUCUACUCCUCCUAGCUAAAAAUCUAACAAAGAUCUAGAUCCCAAAGCAUUUACUCUGGUGGGCACCAUAGCGCAGAUUCCGUCUGAUUGGUAACGAGAGUGAGCAGAGUUACGUAGUCUCCCCAAUGGUGCAGAAUUAUUUUAUAAUUAGAGUGUUUUCCUUCACUCCAUCAAAAGGCUGCGGGAGUUAUGAAAGAUGAUAGAAAACUAAUAUUUUUUCUAGUUUCAACUGUCAUAUGUUUCUCCCACCUCACCCCNNNNNNNNNNNNNNNNNNNNNNNNNCCCCCCCCCGUGGUAUGUAAGUAAAUUCAACUUUUUGUGCAAUGAAGUAGUAAGAACCAUGCUUGUGUUACAGGAGAACAGGUGACUCCUUUGAGGUCGUGAUUGGGCUUGCCUGUUCAUUAUGUUGUCCAUCAGUGGACUAGGAAUUAGCCACAAUUAGUCACUGUGUGCAUUUGUCACACUGACUGAGUUAGAAAAAGUGGGGUUUUUUUGUUUUGUUUUUUGUUUUUUAAAAAAAUACAUUUGUUUUGGGAUGGGAAAGGUUUUUGCAAAGCUCUCCCAUUCUGUUCUGUCUAAAACCAGAUCGAGUUAUUUUGUUACAGUUAUUUAAUGUGUAAAUGAUAUCACUAUACAUAAAGUAUGUCUUUUAAAAACAAUGCUUUCUUUCAAAAUAGUGAUUGCUCAUAUUCAUGGUGUUCACAGCUAUGUUAAAUGAGGAAAUCUGGUGUUCAUACUUUGUUUUCCUGACUGUUUCUGAAAGGAGAUGGGAACUUGCAGAUGCUGGUGGGGACUCUGUAAAGAACAAUGGUUUUCUCUGGGCUGAGUCCAACCCCACCUUUGUCAGUAACUGGGUGAACAUGAUUGUUCUACUUAGCCUCUCUGUCGGUCCAUUUCCUGGACAACACGGUAAGGAUAAUAAAAUCUGCUUCAGAAAGACAAAAGUGAAUUAAAGACAGGACUCUGCAGACGUGCCGGCCUAGUGUUUAGUGAGUACUGGCUUGUCUUCUGUAUGACACUGGUUAUAGAGCAGUGACAGGUCAGGAAGACCUGAACUGGAUUGGUCAAGACUUGGAGGCUCAGGAUGAUCCAGUCCUGGCGGCACCCAGUUUUUGUGAGUUUUACUUGGGGAAACCUAACCAAUUUGUCACAGAAAAUGCUGGUGGUAACCACCUCACUCUGCAAGCAGGGGAGGGAAAACAGCUAUUUUUGAAAUAGUCAUCAGUUUCUAAUAAAGUCUGCCUUCAGGAGAAGCGAGAAAAACAGCGCAUAACCUGCUGGGAUUUUAUCACGGCUCACAAGAUAUGGGAAGAAGUGACCAGCUCUGGCAGAUCUAGGCUCUCAUAUGGAGUUCAGAUGUAGAUCUCAUACGUUAGUUCACUCCAGCCGUCCUGUCCUCUGACAGAGAGAGAAAGAUUCUGAGGUCACAUAUGCCAUUUACAGGCCAGAGGCAAUAGCUCACUAAUACAUACAGAAUUCGCGGGAUUAUAAGCAUGCUGUCUUCCAUGUACAUACUUCAGUUCCUUUUACUCAUUACAGCAUGUCUGGCCUUGAAGAAAAUGACCACAAAGCUUACUGAGAGUCAAGAAACAAUGGGAAGAGAUUGGGGAGCAUCAGAGCCGUAUGCAGCCUCCUUAUCAGACAAAAAGUUUGUUUUAUUAAAAAAAUUUUUCAC
ensembl:macro_lncRNA Gm43742 predicted gene 43742